GACGAACGCUGGCGGCGUGCUUAACACAUGCAAGUCGAACGGUGAAGGGACCAGCUUGCUGGUUCUGGAUGAGUGGCGAGCGGGUGAGUAACACGUGAGUAACCUGCCCCCUUCUUCUGGAUAACCGCAUGAAAGUGUGGCUAAUACGGGAUAUUCUGGGUCUGUCGCAUGGCGGGCCCGGGAAAGAUAUUGCUUCGGUGGGGGAUGGGCUCGCGGCCUAUCAGCUUGUUGGUGGGGUGAUGGCCUACCAAGGCGGUGACGGGUAGCCGGCCUGAGAGGGUGGACGGUCACACUGGGACUGAGACACGGCCCAGACUCCUACGGGAGGCAGCAGUGGGGAAUAUUGCACAAUGGGCGCAAGCCUGAUGCAGCGACGCCGCGUGAGGGAUGGAGGCCUUCGGGUUGUAAACCUCUUUCGCCAGUGAAGCAGGCCUGCUCCUUGUGGGUGGGUUGACGGUAGCUGGAUAAGAAGCGCCGGCUAACUACGUG
rnacentral:rRNA from 1 species